rnacentral:rRNA from 1 species
UACGUAGGGGGCGAGCGUUGUCCGGAUUUAUUGGGCGUAAAGAGCGUGUAGGCGGCCAGGUAGGUCUGCUGUGAAAACUCGAGGCUCAACCUCGAGACGUCGGCGGAAACCAUCUGGCUAGAGUCCGGAAGAGGAGAGUGGAAUUCCUGGUGUAGCGGUGAAAUGCGCAGAUAUCAGGAAGAACACCCGUGGCGAAGGCGGCUCUCUGGGACGGUACUGACGCUGAGACGCGAAAGCGUGGGAGCGAACAGG